AUCGCAGCUCGCUUAGGCCGAAUUUUACUAGCCAGGCUCUACUUUUAUGUCCCGAGAACUGUUAAGGGCGACAAAUCCCUCUUCGUCUUUUGUCCCGCUCCUCAUUCCGAGCGGCUCCCAGGGGUGAGCUUCCUCUCUGAAACUCUUCCUGCCGAGUGGGAGCCGGCCUGCCCCGGGCAGGAGCAGGACUUCGCCCGCCGCCUUUGUGUCAUUUCCAAUACAGAAUUGCUGUUGCUGUUCAGCCACUGUCCUGUCCGGCUCUUUGCAGCCCCGUGGACUGUGGCACACCAGGAUUUCCUGUCCUGCUGUAUCUUCUGGGGCUCGCUCAGACUCAUCCCCAUCGAGUCGGUGACGCCAUCCAACCAUCUCGUCCUCUGUCGUCCCCUUCUCCUCCUGCCUUCCAUCUUUCCCAGCAUCAGGGUCUUUUCCAGUGAGUCAACUCUUCACAUCAGGUGGCCAAAGUAUUGGAGCUUCAGCCUCAGCAUCAGUCCUUCCAAUGAACACCCAGGACUGAUCUCCUUUAGGAUGGACUGGUUGGAUCUCCUUGCAGUCCAAGGGACUCUCAAGAGUCUUCUCCAACACCACAGUUCAAAAGCAUCAAUUCUUUGCCACUCAGCCUUCUUUAUGGUCCAACUCUUACAUCCCACAUAACUACUGGAAAAACCCUAGCUUUGUCUAUAUGGAGCUUUCUCAGCAAAAUGAUGUCUCUACUUUGUAAUACAGUAUCUUGGUUUGUCAUAGCUUAUCUUCUAAGGAGUAAGCAUCUUUAAAUUUCAUGGCUGCAGUCACCAUCUGCAGGGAUUUUGGAGCCCCAAAAAUAAAGUCUGUCAUUGUUUCCAUUGUUCCCCCUCUAUUUGCCAUGAAGUGGUGGGGCCAGAUCUUAAUUUUUUGAAUGUUGAGUUUUAAGCCAGCUUUUUCAGUCUCCUCUUUCACUCUGAUCAAGAGGCUCUUUGGUUCCUCUUCCUCAUCUUCACUUUCUGCCAUUAGAGUGGUUUAUAGGAUGAGAAAAAGAAUAAAAUAUAUUAAACUCCUUGUAGUCAUUUGGUCACACUUCUUUCCAUCCCUGGCUUUGAAGCAAUAAUCAUUUCCAUAUACCCGUUCUGUUCCUCCCAAUUGCCUUUUACAGAAGAUUGCUUCACAAAAUAACUCAUAUGAUGAUAGAUAAGGAGAGAAACAAUUAUUUCAUGUUCUUCUCCACCACUCUUAUUUUUAUCCUUUGCCCCUGUCAGGGUGAACACUGGUUCCAAGUCUCAGCAUAACAUGCCUCUAAGAGCAGCUUUCCAGAGAGCAGGGCCACCCCCUGCGUACAGAGCAAAGAAGGAUGGCUAAAUGGCCUGGGUCUAUGGAAAAGGGGGCCGCAGCCAAGCCUCAGCCACCAACUACUGGCCAUGUGCUUCCUGCCUGUAACCUCAAAGUGACAAAGUGAAGGAUCCAGACUAAUAUAGUCCCUCCUUCCCUUCACUCCAAUAAAGAAUGGCGUUCUAUCCGCAAAUGAUAAGAUCUGACGCAUUCUCUGAGACCAUCUCUUUUCAAGCAGCCAUCUGCAUUCAAGCCAUCUGUCCGCUCCUCUUGCUUGUUAGUCACAUCCCUGAGAAACCAAUUGUAGUAUCUGCUAAUCCUUAAAGGCCAUGAAAUAGUAUUGAUCAGAAAUUGGAAAGGAUGGCAUUUUGUUGCCCAUAGUCUGCAUCCUUACAGUGCAAAAUAAAGCCCUGAAAAUUUAAUUUUUAUCAGGAUAGAAAGUCAAGCAAGAACAUCCAUCCCUCAAUGUGUUUUUUUCUUUUUUUCUGUCUCCUCCUUUUUUUGCUGUUAGCUGGUUGGAAUUUAAUUUGGUUUGUGUCCUGAAACCAAUCAGGGUAAAUUUUUUGUCCUGAUUUUCCUUCUUUGCUUGCUUGUCAUCACUGAUGUGCAUAAAGAGAGCAAUUUUCCACCCAAACCACCCAGCCCCAGUGUUUUCCCAAAUUCCGGUGUAAAUCCAAGGGCAGUUUUAGAAUUAGCAGCAGAGAAAGAGCACCGGUUCAUUUGUCAGACAUCCUAACGUCAGGACUCUAGAUCUGAAGUUUGGAUAGGUUAUUUGACAUGAUUUACUUUGUUAGAUAUAAUUUAAAGAUAAUAACGUCUUUUUUAAUUGAACUCUUUUUUAACUGAACAAUUGAAUGUUGGUUUGCAUUAUUAGCUUCAGGCGUACGACAUAGUGAUUCAAUAUUUUUAUAAAUUACACUCCAUUUAAAAUAGCUACAAAAUAAUGGCUAUAGCUCCGUGUGCUGUGCAGCACACCCUUGUUACUGAUUUAUUUUACACGUCUGUGUGUGUCUCUUAAUUCCCUAACCAUACCUCGCCUCUCCUUCCUUCAUUCUCCCUGCUGAUAACCACUAGUUUGUUCUCUGUAUCUGUGAGCCUGUUUCAUUUUUGUUUUUAC
ensembl:lincRNA